GAAGAGGUGGCUCCAGCUGGCAUCAGAUGAAGAGAAGACUUUUGAAAACUUUUGCAAAAAGAAGCCCUUUCCAGUAGAGGUUAUAUGAUGUUCCGAUCCAUCUUUUCACACUGAGGACAAUCGAAAGACUCAUACACGACUAUUCCAAAAGGUGCAAACAUUCACUGAUGCUCAAGAAGGUAACAGCAUGCAUUAAGAGCCUGGCUGAAACGUUGUAAACAGGAUGAUCAUGUAAAUUUUUUUGUCUUCUGGGAUACUUCUUCUAUGCUGUAUUAACCAUCUUUCUGUAAUAAACCUUUUUCACCUCA